rnacentral:lncRNA from 1 species
AGGGGACAAAGAACUAACAUGUUCCUGCUGCCUUGCAGGGGGAUCGUGGGAAGGAUGGCUUGAAAGGCGAAAGAGGUCCUCCAGGCCCAAAGGGAGAACCCGGUCCACCAGGCAAAGGAGUGGAAAUGAAGGAUCUGGAGAGGCUUUUUGAAGCAAAUGGUAUCAAGCUGGCACUGCUGAAGGACCUCUCCAAUGCACUCCUGCAGGAUGGGCUGGAUGGGCUGGUGUGGCAGCUGGGUGGCUCCAGGACAAGCAAGACCUCCAGGAGAAAGCAAGCAGUUCUUCAUGCUACUGAGCAUGGCGAUUCACUGGUGUUUGAUACUUCUCCUGGUGCCCUGGCCAGCACUGAGGUGACAGAAGAAGCACAGAGCCUGGAGGUGGAGGCUCAGUUUAGGGUGCCGGUGUCUGGAGGACUCCUUAAGGGUCCAUCUGCUGGUGGUUCUGAACCUGAGUACCAGCCCCUAGGAAACCCUCCUGAGUCCUUGGAGAGAACAUCUGAGGAAGGAAAGGAGGAGAGAGACCCAAGAUGGACAAUCACUUCUCUCAGUGGUAGCUUGGCUUUGCCCCCACUGCACCCAGAAGAUGAUCUGCAAGGAAACCAGUCCAUGGAGCUUCUUGAGUCCCUGGAGGGGAGAGUGGAAGGACAACCACAGCAGGACACUAGCCACGAAAAUGAGAAUUUAGACGACGGCUCUGCGCUCCCAAGGCACGUUAGAGCCCAGAGAUCUGCUGAGGACCAGAGACACGUGGUAAAGACCCCAUUUCACCACGACAGCUUCGGGCUGGCCUUUGUGCAAGAGCAGAGCCAUCCGUGUGACCCAGGAGGAAACGGCGACCUUUCCUUGUUGGCUCCAUCACAGGUUCAUCCCCCUGGUGCUCCAGGAGCUCGGAAAUCCCCAUCUGGAUCCACGGUGAGUGAAGACCUCAUAGAAAGGUGUCUUCAAACACAUGGACGCAAGGGCAAUCCCAUUUCCCUCCUCUCACUUGUGCAAAGUCACGAUGAACGUAGAGGGG